AGUGAACGCUGGCGGUAGGCCUAACACAUGCAAGUCGAACGGCAGCACAGUAAGAGCUUGCUCUUACGGGUGGCGAGUGGCGGACGGGUGAGGAAUACAUCGGAAUCUACUUUUUCGUGGGGGAUAACGUAGGGAAACUUACGCUAAUACCGCAUACGACCUACGGGUGAAAGCAGGAGAUCUUCGGACCUUGCGCGAUUGAAUGAGCCGAUGUCGGAUUAGCUAGUUGGCGGGGUAAAGGCCCACCAAGGCGACGAUCCGUAGCUGGUCUGAGAGGAUGAUCAGCCACACUGGAACUGAGACACGGUCCAGACUCCUACGGGAGGCAGUAGUGGGGAAUAUUGGACAAUGGGCGCAAGCCUGAUCCAGCCAUACCGCGUGGGUGAAGAAGGCCUUCGGGUUGUAAAGCCCUUUUGUUGGGAAAGAAAAGCAGCAGGUUAAUACCCCGCUGUUCUGACGGUACCCAAAGAAUAAGCACCGGCUAACUUCGUG
rnacentral:rRNA from 1 species